AAAGAGUCCCUCCCGACUGUUUACCAAAAACACAGCACUUUGCCAACUCGUAAGAGGAAGUAUAAGGUGUGACGCCUGCCCGGUGCUCGAAGGUUAAGAGGAUGCGUCAGUCGCAAGAUGAAGCGUUGAAUUGAAGCCCGAGUAAACGGCGGCCGUAACUAUAACGGUCCUAAGGUAGCGAAAUUCCUUGUCGGUUAAAUACCGACCUGCAUGAAUGGCGUAACGAGAUGGGAGCUGUCUCAACCAGAGAUUCAGUGAAAUUGUAGUGGAGGUGAAAAUUCCUCCUACCCGCGGCAAGACGGAAAGACCCCGUGGACCUUUACUACAACUUAGCACUGCUAAUGGGAAUAUCAUGCGCAGGAUAGGUGGGAGGCUUUGAAGUAAGGGCUUUGGCUCUUAUGGAGCCAUCCUUGAGAUACCACCCUUGAUGUUUCUGUUAGCUAACUGGCCUGUGUUAUCCACAGGCGGGACAAUGCUUGGUGGGUAGUUUGACUGGGGCGGUC
rnacentral:rRNA from 1 species